rnacentral:tRNA from 1 species
GGAGGGUACAGCUCAGUGGUAGAGCGCAUGCUUAGCAUGCAUGAGGUCCUGGGUUCAAUCCCCAGUACCUCCA